rnacentral:rRNA from 1 species
ACUGAAACAUCUAAGUACCCCGAGGAAAAGAAAUCAACCGAGAUUCCCCCAGUAGCGGCGAGCGAACGGGGAGGAGCCCAGAGCCUGAAUCAGUGUGUGUGUUAGUGGAAGCGUCUGGAAAGGCGCGCGAUACAGGGUGACAGCCCCGUACACAAAAAUGCACAUACUGUGAGCUCGAUGAGUAGGGCGGGACACGUGGUAUCCUGUCUGAAUAUGGGGGGACCAUCCUCCAAGGCUAAAUACUCCUGACUGACCGAUAGUGAACCAGUACCGUGAGGGAAAGGCGAAAAGAACCCCGGCGAGGGGAGUGAAAAAGAACCUGAAACCGUGUACGUACAAGCAGUGGGAGCCUCUUAAUGGGGUGACUGCGUACCUUUUGUAUAAUGGGUCAGCGACUUAUAUUCUGUAGCAAGGUUAACCGAAUAGGGGAGCCGAAGGGAAACCGAGUCUUAACUGGGCGUUAAGUUGCAGGGUAUAGACCCGAAACCCGGUGAUCUAGCCAUGGGCAGGUUGAAGGUUGGGUAACACUAACUGGAGGACCGAACCGACUAAUGUUGAAAAAUUAGCGGAUGACUUGUGGCUGGGGGUGAAAGGCCAAUCAAACCGGGAGAUAGCUGGUUCUCCCCGAAAGCUAUUUAGGUAGCGCCUCGUGAAUUCAUCUCCGGGGGUAGAGCACUGUUUCGGCAAGGGGGUCAUCCCGACUUACCAACCCGAUGCAAACUGCGAAUACCGGAGAAUGUUAUCACGGGAGACACACGGCGGGUGCUAACGUCCGUCGUGAAGAGGGAAACAACCCAGACCGCCAGCUAAGGUCCCAAAGUCAUGGUUAAGUGGGAAACGAUGUGGGAAGGCCCAGACAGCCAGGAUGUUGGCUUAGAAGCAGCCAUCAUUUAAAGAAAGCGUAAUAGCUCACUGGUCGAGUCGGCCUGCGCGGAAGAUGUAACGGGGCUAAACCAUGCACCGAAGCUGCGGCAGCGACACUAUGUGUUGUUGGGUAGGGGAGCGUUCUGUAAGCCUGUGAAGGUGUACUGUGAGGUAUGCUGGAGGUAUCAGAAGUGCGAAUGCUGACAUAAGUAACGAUAAAGCGGGUGAAAAGCCCGCUCGCCGGAAGACCAAGGGUUCCUGUCCAACGUUAAUCGGGGCAGGGUGAGUCGACCCCUAAGGCGAGGCCGAAAGGCGUAGUCGAUGGGAAACAGGUUAAUAUUCCUGUACUUGGUGUUACUGCGAAGGGGGGACGGAGAAGGCUAUGUUGGCCGGGCGACGGUUGUCCCGGUUUAAGCGUGUAGGCUGGUUUUCCAGGCAAAUCCGGAAAAUCAAGGCUGAGGCGUGAUGACGAGGCACUACGGUGCUGAAGCGACAAAUGCCCUGCUUCCAGGAAAAGCCUCUAAGCAUCAGGUAACAUCAAAUCGUACCCCAAACCGACACAGGUGGUCAGGUAGAGAAUACCAAGGCGCUUGAGAGAACUCGGGUGAAGGAACUAGGCAAAAUGGUGCCGUAACUUCGGGAGAAGGCACGCUGAUAUGUAGGUGAAGCGACUUGCUCGUGGAGCUGAAAUCAGUCGAAGAUACCAGCUGGCUGCAACUGUUUAUUAAAAACACAGCACUGUGCAAACACGAAAGUGGACGUAUACGGUGUGACGCCUGCCCGGUGCCGGAAGGUUAAUUGAUGGGGUUAGCGGUAACGCGAAGCUCUUGAUCGAAGCCCCGGUAAACGGCGGCCGUAACUAUAACGGUCCUAAGGUAGCGAAAUUCCUUGUCGGGUAAGUUCCGACCUGCACGAAUGGCGUAAUGAUGGCCAGGCUGUCUCCACCCGAGACUCAGUGAAAUUGAACUCGCUGUGAAGAUGCAGUGUACCCGCGGCAAGACGGAAAGACCCCGUGAACCUUUACUAUAGCUUGACACUGAACAUUGAGCCUUGAUGUGUAGGAUAGGUGGGAGGCU